ACAUGGUCGACUAAGCCUUUAGAGACGCUCAAUCUGCUCUCAAUACAUGGAAGCACUGGAGAAAAUAUUAGAACAUUCAUAAAAAUGUUCCUCUAUAUAACAAGGUUAAGAAAGAAAGCUUAGCAAUUACCCGGUAGAAGAAAUAAAAGGAAAACUUAUAAAGCCAAAGCAGUAGGAACAUGAACUGUUGGCAUAGUGUCCCAGAGCAACAUUAAGGUACGUGGUAGCCACUGGUCCAGGAAGUGAGUUCUUUUCCAUCCCUAUUAAGGAAAAAUGGAGAGAGUUUUGUUCCAUGUGUGGACAACAUAUUUAUGGAUUUGCCCUUCAGUUAAAAUAUGACCCCAAACUACUUAGACCGUGUGGACAGUCCACAGAACAUCAGCUGUUCUACUUUACUGAUGGCAUCCUACCAUUUGGAACAGAUUGGAAAGGAAUGGUGAAUACAUGAGAGGCCAUGCUGUGAGGUAAACCCUGUGCAGAUUCAAGUGAGCCCACCAUAUUAGGAAAGGUUUUAGAGGCCCAAUGUUUGGGGCAUGGAGGGCACACUCAACAGACACAGUAGUGCAUCUUGCCCCUCCCUCUACUACUGCAACUACACACACACACACACACACACACACACACACACACACACACACACACAGAUACAGAAGUACAAGGACAAUCACAGGCCCUGUGGAAACAUAGGCUCUAGGCCCCACAGAGUGAAACACAUCAUCUUGGGGACAUAGGAGGAAUCUCACUAAAAAUUACAGCCGUACCGGUUCACUUCUGCCUUCUUGAACUGAGAUAUAGGCGGGGAGCCGAACAGACCAAACCGACAGGACUAAUUGAUCAGAACCAUCAGGAUGCAAAGAGCUGGGGAAGAGUUCAUAGGGUAUCUGGGGGAUGCACUGGCACAUUUCACGGCACUGCCCUCUGGAAUUGUAGCGGCAAAUGGACAAGGCAGCAGUUAAGGCAGCAUUGAGAAGUGCAUGGUGACCGGGACCUGAGAGACCUUAGGAUUUACCUGUUGAAGCAGGUAUAUCUUCAUUUAUACCCAUUAAGAGGCUGCGGUUCCAACUUCUCAGCUGAAUGUGACAUAUAUUGAAUGUGACAUCCCAGAAAUUUUAAGAUACGUAAAGAUAAGGAAGUGAGGAGGAUCUCCCUGGGGUAGCUACUGGUUCAAGAAGGAUGACACACGAAGCCGACUGGAAACACCCAUUCCCAGAGCAAUGGACUGAACUAAGCCCAGUUAUAAGCACCAAACCCAGG